rnacentral:rRNA from 1 species
GAUGAACGCUGGCGGCGUGCCUAAUACAUGCAAGUCGAGCGAACAGACGAGGAGCUUGCUUCUCUGACGUUAGCGGCGGACGGGUGAGUAACACGUGGAUACCCUACCUAUAAGACUGGGAUAACUUCGGGAAACCGGAGCUAAUACCGGACAAUAUAUUGAACCGCAUGGUUCAUUAGUGAACGACGGUUUUGCUGUCACUUAUAGAUGGAUCCGCGCCGCAUUAGCUAGUUGGUAAGGUAACGGCUUACCAAGGCGACGAUGCGUAGCCGACCUGAGAGGGUGAUCGGCCACACUGGAACUGAGACACGGUCCAGACUCCUACGGGAGGCAGCAGUAGGGAAUCUUCCGCAAUGGGCGAAAGCCUGACGGAGCAACGCCGCGUGAGUGAUGAAGGUCUUCGGAUCGUAAAACUCUGUUAUUAGGGAAGAACAAAUGUGUAAGUAACUAUGCACGUCUUGACGGUACCUAAUCAGAAAGCCACGGCUAACUACGUG